AGUGAACGCUGGCGGUAGGCCUAACACAUGCAAGUCGAACGGCAGCACAGGAGAGCUUGCUCUCUGGGUGGCGAGUGGCGGACGGGUGAGGAAUACAUCGGAAUCUACUCUGUCGUGGGGGAUAACGUAGGGAAACUUACGCUAAUACCGCAUACGACCUACGGGUGAAAGCAGGGGACCUUCGGGCCUUGCGCGAUUGAAUGAGCCGAUGUCGGAUUAGCUAGUUGGCGGGGUAAAGGCCCACCAAGGCGGCGAUCCGUAGCUGGUCUGAGAGGAUGAUCAGCCACCCUGGAACUGAGACACGGUCCAGACUCCUACGGGAGGCAGCAGUGGGGAAUAUUGGACAAUGGGCGCAAGCCUGAUCCAGCCAUACCGCGUGGGUGAAGAAGGCCUUCGGGUUGUAAAGCCCUUUUGUUGGGAAAGAAAUCCAGCUGGCUAAUACCCGGUUGGGAUGACGGUACCCAAAGAAUAAGCACCGGCUAACCUCGUGCCAGCAGCCGCCGUAA
rnacentral:rRNA from 1 species